rnacentral:rRNA from 1 species
CGCAGCCGCGGUAAUUCCAGCUCCAAUAGCGUAUAUUAAAGUUGUUGCAGUUAAAAAGCUCGUAGUUGAAUUUCGGAACCGAUUGAUCGGUCACGCCAUUCGGUGUGUACUGGUUUAAUCGGUUCUCACCUUCUAAGGAACCGUGAUGUCAUUAAUUUGGUGUCGCGGGGAAUUAGGACUGUUACCUUGAAAAAUUAGAGUGUUUAAAGCAAGCUCACGCUUGAAUACAUUAGCAUGGAAUAAUGAAAUAGGACAUUGUAUUCUAUUUUGUUGGUUUCUAGGAUCGAUGUAAUGAUUAAUAGGGAUAGUUGGGGGCAUUAGUAUUCAAUUGUCAGAGGUGAAAUUCUUGGAUUUAUUGAAGACUAACUACUGCGAAAGCAUUUGCCAAGGAUGUUUUCAUUAAUCAAGAACGAAAGUUAGGGGAUCGAAGACGAUCAGAUACCGUCGUAGUCUUAACCAUAAACUAUGCCGACUAGGGAUCGGAUGAUGUUUAAUUUUUAAUGUACUCAUUCGGCGCCUU